CAAUAGCGUAUAUUUAAGUUGUUGCAGUUAAAAAGCUCGUAGUCGGAUUUUGGCUGAGAACGAUCGGUCCGCCGUUAGGUGUGCACUGAUUGGUCUCAGCUUCCUGGUGAGGAGGUGUGCUUCACGUCCACUUAGUCACCGUGGUUACUUUGAAAAAAUUAGAGUGUUCAAAGCGGGCUUACGCUUGAAUAUAUUAGCAUGGAAUAACACCAUAGGACUCCUGUCCUAUUUCGUUGGUCUCGGGACGGGAGUAAUGAUUAAGAGGAACAGUUGGGGGCAUUCGUAUUUCAUUGUCAGAGGUGAAAUUCUUGGAUUUAUGAAAGACGAACUUCUGCGAAAGCAUUUGCCAAGGAUGUUUUCAUUGA
rnacentral:rRNA from 1 species